rnacentral:lncRNA from 1 species
GCCCGACGAAACGGCGCGUGUCGGCACGACUGACGAGCGAGGUAGACGAGUAGGUGGGCCGUUUUGUACUCCGGCCCGAUCGAGCGUGAGGAAGAAGGGGAGGAACGGCCGUAGGGCUGCGGCGAGGAAAGCGAGAGGGCAUGGCGUCGGCGAUCCGCUCCGCCGCCGUCUUCCGUUCCUCCUCCGCUCCAGCACGGGGUCUCCUGCGCGCGCGCUUGAGGAGGAGCGGCGCUGCCUGGCCCGGCCCCUCUCCGGAAGCCCUUCUCGCCUCUUCAGCUCAGAUUCCGGCGGCCGCGCGUCGUCCUACAAGGUAAGGCGGCUUCCCUGCUCCUCCUUUUCUCCGUCAUGUGUAGACCCCCAUCGUGCGCUUGCUCCAAUCCACCAGCAGUGGCGGAUCUAGGAUUUUGAAACAUCGUCUGGGGUAUCUUCUGCAGGAAGGGUUUUUUUUUUUUUGCCUACGAUCUUCCACUACUAAUUUGACGUAUGUAGGAAGAAAUGGCACUGAAGAAUUGCCAUUCAAGAAAUAGUUGCUUUGCAUCAUACUACAAUUUUGAUUCCAACUCCUAGUUCCAGUUUACUGUACCGUUACAAAAAUCACAAAUGAUAAGUCACGGGCUGCACCAUUGAUCAUAAGUCAAACUCAUGUGACUCCAGUUAUUCAUACUCCGUAGCAUUUUCCUGAUGACCAGACAGUUCCUCAUGUUUAUCUUCUUAAUGACAACAAAUAUGGCAUGCAAUCAACCAGAAUUUAGAAAAGGUCAACCUACUACACACAUGACAAAUCUGGAUGGUUGCAGCACACCGCCGGCUGCCGAGUAGAACUGCACGCUGGGUGGUGCCGGCGUGCCGCUGUUGCGUCGGCCGGAUGGGGCGGGUACCAGGUGGCUCCUGGCCUCCUGGGAACGGACUAUGGCACUGGAUCGACCGAGCUCCGCCGCUCUGCCGCUACGGUGAGUUGCAGGCGAGGUGGCGAGUAGCUGAGUAGGGAUGGGGGAAUCAGGGGACGGGAACAGGUGCGGCUGUGCGCACUAGGUCGGGAUAAUGCUUCCUGGGCUUUUUUAUAUUUUCCUCAGGGCUUUUCUUCUAUGGUAUGAAGGCCAUCACAAAAUCCCCCUGUCCACCCUCUGGAUCCGCAGCUUUGCACUAACAGCAGCCAAUAAACUUGAAGUAAUGGUAAGAUAAUAUUAGAAAUAUUCAUGACAGUUUUAAAAUAUUUUUACACUUUUCAGACCAUUCCUUUUCCACUGUCAUGAACAUUGAUAAGAUAAUAUUAGAAAUUACCAGCUAAUAAACUUGAAGUAAAAGAAUAGGUAGUAGUCAGUGAAGAGUAGAAGAUGAGAGGUCCAUACCUUGGUAAGCCUAUGUAGCAUAUUGUUUCUGUAGUAAAUAGCUAACAUGAGACCGCAGAGGCGCAGACACGCCAAGGAACUGAAUGCAGGUCAUGGGCUAUUUUCUUCUCCCAGAUUUUUUGUGCUUCUUGUGCUCUGUUGUCCUUCUCAAGUGCAUGCACUAAUUGCUUGUAUGUUCUGAUGGUAUUUCCUUGCCCUUUGCUCAACAUCCAUUUUAUUACCUAGGUGUGUGGUUGGCAGAAAUUCAAUUCAUACUGUAUAAAAGAUAAAUCCAAUAAAAAUAAUUUAAUUAUAAUCUGCAAUACUUGGACAAUUCUAUGCCAUUGUUCCUCCUUUUCAAGAGCUACAAUUGCUUGCUUUAAUGAGGCGAGUGGAAAGUCCUGCUCAAAGGCGAUCCAUGCAUCAAGGGUGCUGUAAAUAGCUUCUUUUGAAUCUUCAAGAUCAAGAAGCUGCAAUUUAGAGAUAACAGUAGUUAAUUAAUUUGUUCCAGUGAGCAGCAGUGGCUAACUGCCAGCAAUAAAUAAAAUCUGUAGUUAGGUUUCAAGAAGCACAUCUGAUCCAUACUGUGUUCUCUACAUAAAUAAAGGCUGCAAUUUGUGUACUGAGGUGAAUCCUAAAUUUCCUACUCUAGCCCAAAAUGCUGUGUACCUAGUACUGCAUACUAAGCUGCAUAUGAUAAAUCAUUCCGUCGUUGAAACCAAGAUAUGUUUGGUAAGACCUACUUACUUGUAAACAAUUAAGCAUAUUGCAAUGAAUAAGCUACUAAAAGUUUUUAGGGACAACAGUUGCUAGUUGACUACAUAGUGCAAGCUCAUUACUUGCCUUGAAGGUGCAAGAGAACUUUUAUAGUUCAUAUUUGGUAAAUAACAAGUGAAAUUGCACACUUACUAGCGGAUCCAAACCUUCUUCUUUCGGUGUCCCCUAGCUUUUUGAAUCAGGGUCAGAUCAUUAUCUCUUUGUUGUGCCUCUACCACUUAUCUAGUUGUAUUUUAGCAUUUUUUUCUCGAUAUAAUGCCACUGAGAAGCUGAGUACAGGUUAUAUAUAUCAUGUUAGUGACGUAAUAAAUUCCAUUUCUCCUCAGCAUCCCUGCAAGUUAACCUGGGCCGCAAAAAGCAUAUGGAGAGUCAGCUUGCGUACCUGAGAAGGAUGCUCGUGACUGGAGAGAGAUGAGGGAAAUACUUGAAGCAUCGGCGCAGCGCAAUGAAAAGUAAGGAACUAAUUCUUUUGUGAGAAUUUUUUUUAUUUGACACUAUCUUAAAAUCUGCUUCCUUAUUUGACACAGGAAAAAAAAAUCUUCCCUAUUUGACACAAAUUCUAAUUUUUAUUCCCUAUAUGACAUUUCCGUUCAUUUUGAGCCUAAAUGGCACCUGAAAAGACUCUUUUGCCCCUCAUGUGGUAUGUGUGUGGGGGGCAAUAGCGCACACAUGCAACACCAGUGCGAGGGCAGGAGCACACACGCAGCAACACAUACACAUGCACCAACACACACACAACAACAACAACACGCAUGCGCACGUGCGCACGCACACACAUGCACGCGCGCACGCGCACAGCAACACACACGCACGUAGCACACACACGCAGCAGCAACACACACGCACGUAGCACACACACACGCAGGCAGCACAUAGGCACGCAACAGCACACACACACGCGCGCACGUACCCACGCAGUAGCAAAGACACACGCAGCAGCAGCACACAUGUGCGCGUGCACCCACACACGCAACAGCACACACGUGCGCACACACAUACCGCAUGAGGGGCAAAAAUCGUCUUUUCAGGUGCCAUUUAGGCUCAAAAUGGACGGAAGUGUCGUAUAGGGAAUAAAAUUUAGGACUAGUGUCAAAUAGAGAAGAAAAACUUUUCCAGUGUCAAAUAAGGAAUCAGAUUUUAAGACAGUGUCAAAUAAGGAAUUUUCUCUUCUUUUGUCCUGCAGAUCUUCCUUUUCUUCUGUAUGAACAAAUGAACUAUGCUAAACAUGGUUCCUUUUAACCUGCAGGUGCAAGCGACAGGACAAGGUCGUAAACUGUGCUGCCGCCGCUAUGUUCCUUGCGUUGUUCGCAGGCCACGUGCUCUUUCGCUGAAUCAAAAAAUAGGUUGUGAUUGCCUUGGCCCAUGCCUUGUUUGCCUUCUCCCUGCACUCUGCGCUUUAUGCAUUUGAACUAUGUGUCUCGACAGUUAGAGGCAAGGCACUUCUAUAUGGUUAAACUUUUGGGUCCUCUCUUGGUGUUGCGUGAAGUAUUUUGUUAGCACAGCUCACAUCAGAAUUUCACCCACUCAUGCAUGAGAAUGCCGAUUCUUAUGAGUAUGAAGUAUGACUGUUUCGUAUAGCUAUGUCGUAACACCGAUGGCUACAAGGCCGAGGCAUUUUCGCUCUCCCUCACUUUUUCUUAAGGGAAAGCCACUGUGACGGAUUAUAUUACUUUGGGGCAUAAUGGAUACAUUAUUCACUAUUACAUCAAAUACAUCAUUCACUAUUACAUCGAUCAAGAAAUAGGUUCAUCCAUAUUCAAGCAGAUGCUAUAUGAGCCACCGUAUUAGCUUCUCUGGGACAAGGGCUAACGGUCACAAGC